UUGCCACACCUCGACCUAUUAAGGUGAUCUGUUACGUACCGCGCAGACCGAAUGGUAUAGUACCUAAAAAAAGAAAUACUCGCGUGUUUAACGUGAUUAAUCGAGAUUACGAAGUAUCGAUAAAAUUCAAUAUACGGAUCAUCUGAAUAAUAAGCAACAAAAACAAAAAGAAUAUCGAGGAAACAUAAACAUCAAAAAUCUGCAGAUCAAAUGGAAAUAUCCACCCGGUAACGUUUCUCCUGGAUACGCAAUACCUCGAGGCGCUGGCGAAUAAAAACGGGGGCGUUAAAGGAAAACGAGAUAAUCAGCGUUUGAGUGAUAGUCACGAACAGUGAUAAUAACAAUGCGGAAGGUGAGACCACGCUGUCGAGGGAAGAAGGAAAGAACAAUAACGUGGAACAAGGACAGGGCUGCAGAAUCGAGCGAGUAGCUGGUUUGCAGCGGCGGCGGUGGCGGUAGCAGCAGCGGUGGCGCUGAUGGUGGUAGUCAUGGUUGUCGUUAUGGUUGCAGUGGUAGGGCGCCGAGCAUGGUAGGAGGUAGCAGCGAAGAGGGCGAAAGGGAAAGAAGAAUCGGUGGAGCCAAAGAACGAUAGGAUGAAAGACAUGGAAAGAACCGAACCGAGCCGGACCGGGUGGGGGUAAUAAUGAAUCGUUCACCUGAACCGCGAGCCUGCCGUACCUACACGAUGCAGUCGUGCGGGAAGAGAGCAGUACUCGUUCGGACGUUCGAGCAGUCUUUCGAACGGCUUCGCAGGGAUCGCUUCGUUCCAAUACGCUUCGCUCCGCUCCUCCGAAUCGCGCGUCUCUCUUUCGUUCGCGUCGCCUCUCCGCCGUGAGUAUCGGUUUCAGCGAGUGUUCGUUCUUCCCAGCGAUCGGAAAAAACCGGAUUGCCACGAGCGAGCUCUCGGCAGAGUUUCCAGGGCACGGCCGUUUAAACCGGAGCAAGUGGACCAGCGCGCGAUCUGCGAACCUGCCCGAGACCGAUCCAGUUGGCGCGCAUGCGACCGCUAUCGUUCUCAUCGUUCGAUCGGUCCUUCUCUCGUUCGAUCGGUUCGUUUCGAUCGGCCCAACGAUUCACGUUCACCCCGUGGGCUGCCGAUUUUUCUCACGCUGUACGCUUUGCAGGCAUGAAAGCUCAGUUUUCGGAGAAAGGUGAUACAUCCGUCGGAGCCGACUAGGCGCGUUCCUUCGCGUAGAUCGCGCGCGAGCGAACGAGCGAGCUCGGUAUCGUUGUUGUUGUUCCGUUGCCGACGAAUCGCCAGUGGCACACUUGUCGCUUGGAAAGGAGAAUAGACUUUCUCCUUCUCGUCGUUCCUCGUACCGCCACCGCGUUUCGGCCCGUUCUUCCGCGGAAAGGAACGCCCUCGAGAAGGACGACGACUCGGCGAACGUCGGUAAUUAUCCUCGCGACUGAGUCGACGAAUUCGGUGACGGUGACGAGAACGAGAAGGUGGAGGUGGCGGAGAAGAAGAAGAGGGAGAAGGAGGACGAUGAUCAAGGUCUGGCCGGGAAGAAGUAGAGAGGCGUAUUAAAAUUCCCAACGUUCGCGCGGCCACGGAGAGUUGCCGAGAGUGCUCGAAAUCGAGAGAACUUGUAAAUCGGCUUCUAGAAAAAACCGAGCGGACAGCUACGGAUAGAGACCGCGAACAGGGACAGGCAUAGA